CCACCACCAAAGCAUUUGCUGUACCGCGUUGACGGAGCGAAGCGACGUCAAACCGAUAAAACAGCAGUGUAAAGUGAGCCGCAGGGCGCUUUGCGCGACAGCGCAAAGGCAGGCGGUUUCGCGUAGCGAAAGCGAAUGCUUUGGGGUGGGGUGACUGCGUACCUUUUGUAUAAUGGGUCAGCGACUUAUAUUCUGUAGCAAGGUUAACCGAAUAGGGGAGCCGGAGGGAAACCGAGUCUUAAUUGGGCGUUAAGUUGCAGGGUAUAGACCCGAAACCCGGUGAUCUAGCCAUGGGCAGGUUGAAGGUUGGGUAACACUAACUGGAGGACCGAACCGACUAAUGUUGAAAAAUUAGCGGAUGACCUGUGGCUGGGGGUGAAAGGCCAAUCAAACCGGGAGAUAGCUGGUUCUCCCCG
rnacentral:rRNA from 1 species